rnacentral:lncRNA from 1 species
UUAGUGCUUACCUCGUCCUCGUUGGCCAUGAGGCAGAAAUUGGCCUUCUCCUCUUGUUCCUCUUCCGAUGAUGAUGAUGACUCAUCAGAGUCAGUCCAAGUGGUGACAAGAGCUUUCUUCUUCUUGUGCUUGUUGACCUUCUUCAGCAAGGGAUAGUCGGCUCUGAAAUGACCGAGCUUUUUGCAUUCAUAGCAUCUGAUUUCCUCACUUUCCUUUUUCUUACCUUUAUCCUUAUUGAAAGAACUCGAAGGAAAUCUCUUCUUAUGGAAGGGCUUCUUCCUAUUGAUGAAUCUUCUGAAUUUUCACACAAGGAGAGCCUCUUCUUUAUCUUCCUCAUUGUCUUCUUCUUCACUACUGCUACUGCAAGAAUGAUCUUUGUUAGAAGAGGUAGACUUGAGGGCAAUUACCUUUUUCUUAUGAGAGGAUUCUUCUUCGCUGUAUU